AGUGAACGCUGGCGGUAGGCCUAACACAUGCAAGUCGAACGGCAGCACAGUAAGAGCUUGCUCUUACGGGUGGCGAGUGGCGGACGGGUGAGGAAUACAUCGGAAUCUACUUUUUCGUGGGGGAUAACGUAGGGAAACUUACGCUAAUACCGCAUACGACCUACGGGUGAAAGCAGGGGAUCUUCGGACCUUGCGCGAUUGAAUGAGCCGAUGUCGGAUUAGCUAGUUGGCGGGGUAAAGGCCCACCAAGGCGACGAUCCGUAGCUGGUCUGAGAGGAUGAUCAGCCACACUGGAACUGAGACACGGUCCAGACUCCGACGGGAGGCAGCAGUGGGGAAUAUUGGACAAUGGGCGCAAGCCUGAUCCAGCCAUACCGCGUGGGUGAAGAAGGCCUUCGGGUUGUAAAGCCCUUUUGUUGGGAAAGAAAGGCAGCAGGUUAAUACCCCGAUGUUCUGACGGUACCCAAAGAAUAAGCACCGGCUAACUUCGUG
rnacentral:rRNA from 1 species